UGGGGAAUAUUGCACAAUGGGGGAAACCCUGAUGCAGCGACGCCGCGUGAGCGAAGAAGGUUUUCGAAUCGUAAAGCUCUGUCCUAUGAGAAGAUAAUGACGGUAUCAUAGGAGGAAGCCCCGGCUAAAUACGUGCCAGCAGCCGCGGUAAUACGUAGGGCGCGAGCGUUGUCCGGAAUUAUUGGGCGUAAAGGGCUUGUAGGCGGUUGGCCGCGUCUGCCGUGAAAUCCUCUGGCUUAACUGGGGGCGUGCGGUGGGUACGGGUUGACUUGAGUGCGGUAGGGGAGACUGGAAUUCCUGGUGUAGCGGUAGAAUGCGCAGGUAUCAGGAGGAACACCGGUGGCGAAGGCGGGUCUCUGGGCCGUUACUGACGCUGAGGAGCGAAAGCGUGGGGAGCGAACAGG
rnacentral:rRNA from 1 species